GUCCUUUGUGAUAUGCACUUCAUCUUUCCUGUGCUUUCAGAACUCUGGGGGCCAGGAAUCAUAAUUAUAAUUGUGCACUUGGGAGUUAGAGAAUCUUACAGCUCUUAAAGUAUCUACCUCUUUCCAUCUUGACUCAAACUUGUGACAAUUUCUCUUCUACAAAGCUUCCUCCUGUUCCACCUGGAAGAUGCUUGACACAGUCUCCGGGAGAUCCUCAUAAAUGCUCGGCUGGAGAAAAAGGAAAGAACAAAAGGUUCAUCUCAUCGGUCCUCCACGGCCUUCAGUUCUACAGCGUAUUCCAUCCAGUGACAGAAUGGUCUUCUUUCCCCACAGCACACAGAAAUGGAAUGGGAGACCAGCAGGAGGAGCCGGGAAGACAGGAAGAUCACAAGAACUAAAAGUAUAUAUAAAAAUGCCAUGAGGGGGUCCAUGGCUUCAUACGCUAAUUCUCAAAAUAACUCAUAGGUAAGGGGAAAGCAGCCCUGCUCCCCUGAAACUCUUUCUAGCAGCAGCUCUGAUGUAGUCUGUGACCUGAUCCUCUGCCAAUGCUCAAUCGGCUAAUAAAUGGACUCUAAGAGACAGUUGUGAAGUGACGGUUCCCUACAACUCUCCGAGACAAUUCUGCCUGUGCCUGGACUGCUCACGAUGGGCACAUGGUCACAUGGUACAGCCACAGGAGCUACUGUGGAAUAAGAACAAUAGAAAAGAGGGUCUUCUAGCUCUCAGGUUUCAAGGGAACCUGGCAGAACGGAAGGAAAAGGAGAAGAAAAAUCACCACUGAUUUCAGAUGGGAGAGUGAUGAGUUUGGGUCAUCCUUUUGCACUUCCUCGCCUCUCUGAACUGAAUUUCUUGGCCAGAGUAAACUCGCCGGGAAGUAUUACAUGCAAGGUGCUAUUGGGAUGAGCACCAGCGUUUCUACCCAGCACUCAGGGUAAGUCCAAAUAGAGAAACAACAGGGAGAUGUAUUCAUUAAGAAUGGAAAACAGAAAUGACCUAGGACCUGACCUAGGACCAUUUCCCAUGGAGAAUCUAAAAGCUGCAAGCUUCCGGGGAAGAAAUGGACAAGUGUGUAGCAUGUCAAGGCACUGGAGCAGCGUGUGAUUCUCAGAGCACUUACAAGGCCCGGCUGGCACAGCCUGAGAAUGACAAAUUACUUCUAUGUGCCCCACAGGUAGAUACAGAUUAGAAUGUUUUGGACAAAGAUAGAUGCCUCAGCAGAAGUGCUCAGUAUGGCCUAUGACACAGGGAAAAUGUACCCCAAUAUCUAGUCAACAUACCUACUUGGGAGUAUACUUAAUAUGAACACAGACUAUUUUAUAAAUUAACUGCACCUAAUAAUGAUAAUAACAAUAAUAAUAAUAAGCAAAAACAAAAAAUCAGUCUUCCAUCACAUCGGCAUAGUUUUCACAUGUCCUGUGUGAUAGUUUGUAUAUGCUUGGCCCAGAGAGUGGCACUAUUAGAAGGUGUGACCCUGUUAGAGUUUGUGUGUCACUGUGAGUGUGGCUUUAAGACCCUUAUCCUAGCUGCCUGGAAGCCAGUAUUCUGCCAGCAGUCUUCAAAUGAAGAUGUAGAACUCUCAGCUCCUCUUGUACCAUGCUUCUCUGGAUGUCGCCAUGUUCCUGCCUUGAUGAUACUGGACUGAACCUCUGAACCUGUAAGCCAGCCCCAGUUAAAUGUUAUUNNNNNNNNNNNNNNNNNNNNNNNNNNNNNNNNNNNNNNNNNNNNNNNNNNNNNNNNNNNNNNNNNNNNNNNNNNNNNNNNACCACUGUAUUAUUAUCCAGGGAUGGCACUACUAUGCCAGUUGUAGCCUCUCUGUUUUAUUAUUAUCAUUGUUAUUAUUAUUUAUACAAGUACAUUGUAGCUGUCUUCAGACACACACUAGAAGAGUGCAUCAGAUCCCAUUACAGAUGGUUGUGAGCCACCAUGUGGUUGCUGGGAAUUGAAUGCAAGACCUUUCAGAAGAGCAGUCAGUGCUCUUAACCACUGAGCCAUCUCUCCAGGCCUCUCUGUUAACAGCACUUUUAUCACCAAGCUCAUCUGUCUCUCUCUCCGCAAUUACACAAAUGUACACACUGAAUAAAGAAGCCCAUUCUGUAAAUGGAGCACCAGGCAUACUGGGAUUAGCAGCCAAAUGAAACAGAUGAAUGGAUUUUUGUUAAUAAGGAAGAGGUGUUAUUAUUGUUAGUUGAUGCGAUUUUCAACAAAAUGUUAAUAAUUUUUUCAACAACUACACACUGAAGCUAUUCACUUCAUUUUGAAUAGCCUGCUCUUCCCUCUAAAACUGCCCAUGAAGGUAUAUUUCUCCAUGUCUUCUUGUAUUGCCUUUUUUUUCCAAUCCUUCCUGUACUGUUAUUGUCUAGUAAUAAGUUAUUUUUCUUUCCAGAAACUGAUUGUGUCCUGAUGUGUUAAGAUUCUAACCUAUGAGACUUGUUUGUAUUUUAAGGCACUUUGUCUCUCUGUCCCAUGUCAAUAUUGCUUUGAUGUUCCAUUUAAGCAGAGUAUCAUUUGUUCCAUUUCAAGAGUCCUUAACUGGUCUUAGCAUACAUGGCUGUUUCUCCUGCUGCACACACAUUAGUCUGACGCUGGUAUCCUGUUGUAUGUUCUGCUGCUGACUGCAUUGCCUGCUUUGUUCUUUCAUUCUCUGGUCCUUCUGGCACACUACGGUUCCUUACAUUCAUGAUUCAAAAUGUAUCAAUAGAUAAAAGCUUGUGACAACUGCAUUAUGGAAUUUCAUUGCAAAUCAUGAUCGUUUUCCCGGUAUGUUACAAACAAGUCAUAUUAAUCUUGACAUCACUACACAGACAAAAAAUAUAACUAUGAAUUUUAUUUCAUGACAGUAAAUAGGAUAAAAUAUAUCAAAUAAGAAGAAAAGGCUAGACUAGCUACCUCGGAGAUGUCAUCUCACCAUGCAAAGUCCUCCAUUCCUUAAAUACCACAGGACAGUUCUGCCUUGGGACUCUGCAGUUGCCCUGGAACAAUCUUCAUCUACUCAUGAACCACAGGCUGGCCUCCAUGUUUCCUUCAGACAGGCCCCGGAGACUCAGUCUGUGGCUUCCUGCUAGCAAGAAUGCAGAUGUGAUAGAUUACCUGUGGUAGCCAUACUGGACCUCAAGAUGACCGUGGGAACAAGGAUCACGGGAGGCAGGGCUCUGAGCUGACAGGAAUCUAGACCUUGGCCUGCCAGAUGCCAUAUCUCUCCUGCACUACCUUUAUAAGACUUUUUUUUUGAACGAGGAAGAAAUAAACUUUGAUGUAGUCUAAGCCACUAUU
ensembl:antisense 4921518K17Rik RIKEN cDNA 4921518K17 gene